rnacentral:misc_RNA from 1 species
GAUGAAGAACGCAGCGAAAUGCGAUACGUAAUGUGAAUUGCAGAAUUCAGUGAAUCAUCGAAUCUUUGAACGCAUAUUGCGCUCUCUGGUAUUCCGGAGAGCAUGCUUGUUUGAGUAUCAGUAAACACCUCAACUCCCCUUUCUUUUUUUGAAAUGGGAGCUGGACUUGAGUGAUCCCAACGCUUUUCUCACCGAAAAGUGGCGGGUUACUUGAAAUGCAGGUGCAGCUGGACUUUUCUCUGAGCUAAAAGCAUAUCUAUUUAGUCUGCCUAAAAAACAGAUUAUUACCUUUGCUGCAGCUAACAUAAAGGAGAUUAGUUCUUGUGCUGACUGAUGCAGGAUUCACAGAGACAGCUUCGGCUGGCCUUUGUAAACUCGAUCUCAAAUCAAGUAAGACUACCCGCUGAACUUAAGCAUAUCAAUAAGCGGAGA